rnacentral:rRNA from 1 species
UACGUAGGGGGCAAGCGUUAUCCGGAUUUACUGGGUGUAAAGGGAGCGUAGACGGCAGUGCAAGUCUGAUGUGAAAGGCAUGGGCUCAACCCGUGGACUGCAUUGGAAACUGUACAGCUGGAGUGCCGGAGGGGUAAGCGGAAUUCCUAGUGUAGCGGUGAAAUGCGUAGAUAUUAGGAGGAACACCAGUGGCGAAGGCGGCUUACUGGACGGUAACUGACGUUGAGGCUCGAAAGCGUGGGGAGCAAAC